rnacentral:lncRNA from 1 species
UUUCCAGACCUCUGGCUCUUGGUGCCAGGAUACCACUGAAACGGAGCCACAGGAUGACACCGUCCCCACCCACCCCCACCCCAACCCUGUCCUCCCCAUGGGACGUAGCCAACAAUUCAAGUCUGGCCCACAGUAGUACUGGUCAUAAUCUGUCUGUCAACGCUGAUCGUGGGUGGAUCUAGCAGAGAUCGUUCUCUACUUGGCGUGCUGGUGUUGUGGCUCUAAAGAACUGCCUAGGUAUGGGAUCCAGCUUUGUGUCACAGAGGAAAUGGAUUCCAGCUUCCUGGCUUGACACUGAGGGCUGGACCCUAGGCCCAGAAGAAAUCCAGAGUUGGAUUAGAAGUCUAGCUGGUAGCUGGUCGCCUAUACUGCACUUGGAUGAGGGCGAAAGGCAGCAGGAGAGGCACUCAGUGCCCCAUUCCCAGACGAGGAGGGCUUCUCUCAGCCCUCUCCUCGCUGUCUCUCAGCCUGGCCACACAAACCUAUUGGAGGCUACAAGAAAGACAGAUGACAUCAAGGCAAGACCUAGAAGCUAGCCGGGCAAGCAGAGGAACAGCGCGCUGGUUAAAGGAGCAAGGCAAACCAAACAGAACAAGACUGGAGAGUGAAUACACAGCUCUCAGCUCAAAGGGGACCAGGAAAUUCUGAGUACAGAUGUUGACGGAAGUUGACCUUCGACCAAAACCUGUGCAUUCAGAAAGUACCGACCACAGCUUCCUCCCUGCGGAUGACUGUAGCCCGACACUGCUCCCUCACAGAGACCACCUAUGGAGAUAAGCUGAGCCAUCUCUUCAUCCGUGCUGUAUAUCAUAAACACAUUGAGCUUCAGGACUACUGCUUGUAUGUCUCCAUCUGAGUACAUGGCCACUGGGUCCCAGCCUUACAUAAUUUAUAUCUAUCUUAUUCUUCAUGGCCCCCAGUCUGAUCAAGACCAAAGCCAUGUGGGUUUCUGCGGGAAGUCCUUUCUAAAGGGAGUCAAGGGUGAUAGCAUACUGAUAAUAUUGACAGAUGAUCACCAUUCCUAAGCAUGAUCAAUCCACCUCCUGCCUUCUAGACUCAGUGAUGGGGGAGAAGGCCAGGGCUCCUCUGGCAUCAGAUAAUCAGGAAGGGGUUUGAAAUAGCUGCCUUAUGUUUCCAGGUCAGCCCAUCUCAAAAUAAAGACAUUUUCUGC